rnacentral:rRNA from 1 species
AACGAACGCUGGCGGCAUGCCUAACACAUGCAAGUCGAACGAUGCCUUCGGGCAUAGUGGCGCACGGGUGCGUAACGCGUGGGAAUCUGCCUUUCGGUUCGGAAUAACUCAGGGAAACUUGAGCUAAUACCGGAUAACGUCGCAAGACCAAAGAUUUAUCACCGAAAGAUGAGCCCGCGUAGGAUUAGCUAGUUGGUGAGGUAAAGGCUCACCAAGGCGACGAUCCUUAGCUGGUCUGUGAGGAUGAUCCUCCACACUGGGACUGAGACACGGCCCAGAAUCCUACGGGAGGCAGCAGUGGGGAAUAUUGGACAAUGGGCGAAAGCCUGAUCCAGCAAUGCCGCGUGAGUGAUGAAGGCCUUAGGGUUGUAAAGCUCCUUUACCCGGGAAGAUAAUGACGGUACCGGGAGAAUAAGCCCCGGCUAACUCCGUG